ACAACCAUUUUCAUUUUCAACAAUUGCAUUCCACAAAUUUUAAACACUUGAUUCAUUACACCACCGUUCAAAUUCCGGCGCUUCCCCACCACUAUCCACUGUUCCUUGAUAUUUCAUAUUUCAGCUGAGUGAUGGCGGCUUAUGCUGCAGCGGCUUCUAUUAAGGCAACAAUUCUGCGUAUUCUGCGAUCAUCUCGCAUUUCGUUCAUUCCUUCCACUUCACUAAUCCUAAAACAAGCGUACGAUGAGAUGGAUACAUUGCAGAGGCUUCUGCUAAAGUUAAACUACACCUGGUACAGCCAUAUUCGGACGGAGGUGAAUGCUUUGGAUGAACGAAUCAAAGAGAUUGUGUGGGGGUUCGAAGAUAUACUUGAAUCCCACGUUGUAGACCAGAUACUUCCACAACUCGAAAGCUCUGGAGCUUUCUUUGUAGAUCUGCAGGAUCUGCAACAUAAUGUUGCUAUCUUCGUCAAGAUAGUGAAGAUGAUGGAGGGUGCAUACUUAACGGAAGUGGAGAAUAUGCCCGAAAUUGAGGGCGAGCCUCUUUCUUCAAGAAUUGAUUAUAGUGGAAUCAACUCAAACAUGGUUGGGUUAUCAGAAGAAUUUGAGCAAAUCAGGGAUUAUCUUCUUACAGGAAGUGAAGGGAACUGCUUUGUGAUUACUGGGAUGCCGGGAGUUGGUAAGACCAUGCUUGCUAAGAAAAUAUUUGACGAUCCAUUAAUUCGUGGACAUUUUGAGCUUCGAGCAUGGGUCAAAGUAGGCAGACAAUGUGCAUCCACUGAAACAUUGUGUUGCAUUCUAGCUCAAGUGGAUCCCAACCGUUACAAAAGCAUGCUUACCCAAGGACAAGAUGAUGAUGAAAAGAAAUUAGUUGAACUCUUGAGAGAAACAUUCAAGGAGAAGAAAUGUCUAAUUGUGUUGGAUGAUAUGUGGGGCAUACGCAUGGGUCAUACCUUCCCAAAUGUCCAAAUCUUGAUUACUAGUAGAAUAGUAAUGUCUGAUUAUAAAAUGCUUAUACUACGGUUGUUGGAUGAAGAAGAAAGUAAAGAAUUGCUCGCUCAGAAAGUAUAUGGUGAAGAGGGAUUCCCUCCUCAACUUAACAAGCUGGGAGAGAAGAUUGCCGACAAAUGUGAAGGUCUUCCUCUUCUGAUAGUCAAGGUUGCAGAGUUCCUAUCAAAAGCCGACAAGACCCCAAAGUACUGGACUGACGUAGUCGAAAAACAACAUCAUGAAGUCUUUGAGGAUGCAUUUAAUCAAAUAGCGAAGGUACUUUCGCCAACCUAUGACUACUUACCUCAACAUUUGAAAAUGUUGUUUCUUUAUUUGGGAGCCUACCGUCCAUAUAAUGGUAUCUUAAUGUAUGAACUAAUUGGUCAAUUGUCUGCUGAAGGAUUUCUUGACCCGAAUAGAGAACAAACUUAUGAAACAUUCCAACAUCUCUUGCACAAUCUCUUCUCUCAGCUUUCUAUGUAUAACCUUCUUCUUCUUCGGCCCGAUGGGCUUUCCUCUUUGUGUCAAUUUCAUGGGAUUCGCAUGCAUUGUUGUUGGCAUCACUUCUGUAAGGAAGAAGCUAGUAAGAUCAAGUUUUUUCAUGUUUUACAAACUUGUAACGUUGAUGAUAUAGAUGGCCACCGACGGUUGAGUACCCAUUGCAACACUUUAUUUGGCUUCAAAGAAGUGUAUGGUUCAAUAAAAAGUGAUUUUGCAUCCACUCUACGUUCUCUCCUUUGUUUUGGUCCCGAUCAUCAAUAUCCAAUCCCAAUUGAUGCCAUGGGUUUCAAGUUGAUCAGGGUACUAGAUGCUCAAAGUGUCCGAUUAUACCAUUUCCCAGUUGAAAUUCUAAAACUAAUUUGUCUGCAUUAUGUUACCCUAUCUUGCAACGAGGAGCUCCCUGCUUCCAUCUCCAACCUUUUUCUUCUCCAAUUCUUGACUCUCAGUCGACAUAUGAUGAUUAAAAAACGUGGAGUUCAUUCAUAUAUGCCUAUGGAAAUCUGGGGCAUGCAAGAGUUACAACAUAUUGAGGUCUCUGGAAGUGAUCUACCAACUCCAAAUUUUGAUGCUACUUUAAACAAACUCACCAAUCUUUUUGGUGUGAGUGCAAAGAGUUGCACCAAAGAAAUUCUCAAAAGAAUUCCUUAUUUAUUUAAAUUAGGAAUUCAGGCUGAGUUGAAGCCCUAUGACGAUGAUGCUGAUAGCAACCCGUUUAGUGGCUUGGGUUAUAUCUCCGAAGAACUCCAAAAUCUGAAGCUGCUGAGGUGUCAUUUAGUAAAUCCUGAUCUGAAGUAUGAGUGUAUGCUUUCUCUUUCAAUGUUCCCGUCACGACUGGAACAGUUGGAGCUGAGUGGCUAAGGUUGUCCUUGGCAGCACAUGAAUGACAUUGGUUCGCAACUGCCAAAUCUUCUCUAUCUCGUAUUACAACACUAUGCUUUUCGAGGCCCAAAUUGGGAUAUAGAUUCUGGUUGUUUUUUGAAACUUAGGACUCUUACAAUUGAAGGCACUGAUCUGGUGAGAUGGAGACCUCAACCUGGAAGCUUCCCAGAGCUUAAAUUCAUAAGCAUACGCUUCUGCUACAAAUUACGACAACUUGAUUGGAUAUGUACUGACCACUCCUUAGAAACAACCAUUGAAUUGAUCGAUUGCCAUCCUUUAGCUUUCGCUUCUACCAAUUUGACUAGAUCGGAAUCUGGUCAUGUGAAAGUUAAUCAAGGAUUCUCUUUUUUGGAUGAGAAGUCAAUGCUAGACCUUCCACUUGGCUCACAGGUUAUUGAAACGGACCACGAUGAAACCGACUCGAGCGCCAUGGCUCUCGACGGAUCCACUGCACCACAGCCAGUCAGCACACGCAAGAGGCGCAGGAUAACAAGGCCUUAAAGAUAUCUUGAAUAGAUUAAGGCAGCCAGUCAUGUUUUUCAUUAUUUCCAUAUUUAUUUCCCGAGUCUUUUAAUAAAUGUAAUGAGACGAGCAUUGUUAUAAGCUCCUUUCUGGGUUUUCUUUGUCGGUUCUUUCCCAGAUUGCAAAAGAGAGUCGAACCGCAUAGGGUUAUUAGAUCUGUCUAAUAAUAUGUAAUUGCGUUUGAUUACAUUACAUAAUAAGAUA